AGGUAGCCUGUUAUGCAGUCGAGCGGUGCACAGCAGUGAAGCUUGCUCUCUCCCGGCGGCGAGCGGCGGACGGGUGAGUAAUGUCUGGGAAACUGCCUGAUGGAGGGGGAUAACUACUGGAAACGGUAGCUAAUACCGCAUAACGUCGCAAGACCAAAGAGGGGGACCUUCGGGCCUCUUGCCAUCGGAUGUGCCCAGAUGGGAUUAGCUAGUAGGUGAGGUAAUGGCUCACCUAGGCGACGAUCCCUAGCUGGUCUGAGAGGAUGACCAGCCACACUGGAACUGAGACACGGUCCAGACUCCUACGGGAGGCAGCAGUGGGGAAUAUUGCACAAUGGGCGCAAGCCUGAUGCAGCCAUGCCGCGUGUGUGAAGAAGGCCUUCGGGUUGUAAAGCACUUUCAGCGGGGAGGAAGGGAGCAGGCUUAAUACGUCUGUUCAUUGACGUUACCCGCAGAAGAAGCACCGGCUAACUCCGUGCCAGCAGCCGCGGUAAUACGGAGGGUGCAAGCGUUAAUCGGAAUGACUGGGCGUAAAGCGCACGCAGGCGGUCUGUUAAGUUGGAUGUGAAAUCCCCGGGCUUAACCUGGGAACUGCAUUCAAAACUGACAGGCUAGAGUCUCGUAGAGGGGGGUAGAAUUCCAGGUGUAGCGGUGAAAUGCGUAGAGAUCUGGAGGAAUACCGGUGGCGAAGGCGGCCCCCUGGACGAAGACUGACGCUCAGGUGCGAAAGCGUGGGGAGCAAACAGGAUUAGAUACCCUGGUAGUCCACGCUGUAAACGAUGUCGAUUUGGAGGUUGUGGUCUUGAACCGUGGCUUCCGGAGCUAACGCGUUAAAUCGACCGCCUGGGGAGUACGGCCGCAAAGGUUAAAAACUCAAAUGAAUUGGACGGGGGGCCCCCCCAAACGGGGGGAACAUGUGGGUUUAAUUUCAUCCAACACGAAGAACCUUACCUACUCUUGACAUCCAGAGAAGCCUGCAGAGAUGCGGGUGUGCCUUCGGGAACUCUGAGACAGGUGCUGCAUGGCUGUCGUCAGCUCGUGUUGUGAAAUGUUGGGUUAAGUCCCGCAACGAGCGCAACCCUUAUCCUUUGUUGCCAGCACUUCGGGUGGGAACUCAAGGGAGACUGCCGGUGAUAAACCGGAGGAAGGUGGGGAUGACGUCAAGUCAUCAUGGCCCUUACGAGUAGGGCUACACACGUGCUACAAUGGCGUAUACAAAGAGAAGCGACCUCGCGAGAGCAAGCGGACCUCAUAAAGUACGUCGUAGUCCGGAUUGGAGUCUGCAACUCGACUCCAUGAAGUCGGAAUCGCUAGUAAUCGUAGAUCAGAAUGCUACGGUGAAUACGUUCCCGGGCCUUGUACACACCGCCCGUCACACCAUGGGAGUGGGUUGCAAAAGAAGUAGGUAGCUUAACCUUCGGGAGGGCGCUUACCACUUUGUGU
rnacentral:rRNA from 1 species